UCGCCCACUACCUCGCUAAAAGGAACCUAAUGGAUCGCACACCGUGAAAGGUGGAGAUUGGAGAUUAAAUGGAAAUGAGUAAGAAUGAUUAAAUGGUUUAAUCAUUGAUUUAUGGCAAGGAUUAAUUAAUAUGUUAAUUAAUCAAACGAAUAAGUUCGUUAAAGACUUCGGGAUAGUUUUGGACCUUAAGGCCCAAUGGGCUUCGAACGUCAAGCCCAUUAACUUAAGUUGUAUGACAAUUUAAUGAAUGAAGAUUCAUUAAAGCCCAAAAGCCCAAAUCUCAUAAGGUGGCCGGCCAUAUUAGAUGAAUUAGGGUUGUUUGGUUAUUUAGGUCACUUAAAGAAGUGACUAUAUAAAUGACUUUAUAACUAAAUAUUCAUUAAGUGAAUUAAGUGAAAAAUGGGUUUAUUUUGGGGGAAUGGGUGAGAAUUGUCUCUCCAUUUUCUCUCUAAAGAGGCCAACACCUUGGAGGGUACAUCUAGCAAUCCUACUACUCCAAGGUCACUCAUUUCUUCUACAAUCGAACCUUGGUGUCGAGAAUUAGAGGUUCUCAAUUUUGGGAACUUGGAGAACCUAUUCUUCCAUCCAAAUCCAUGGAUCUAAGAAGCAAGGAAUGAAGGCCCUUAUCUCUUUCGGUGAUUAGCCUUUGCUUAUGCAAAGAGGAAUCUACAAAGGUAUUAAUUUCAACUCACUUUGUUUUUGAGUUGAUUAUUGGUUCACCAAUCUACUAGGCUUUGAAUUUCAUGGGUAAAUGUUUUGUUUUUGAGUGCAUGUAAGCAUGAUUCUGCCUUUAAUUGUUAAUUGCAUGCUAUAUGAUGUUGCUCAAAUGAACAUGUUUUACAAAAUAAAUCCUUCAAGUGGUAUCAGAGCCUAGGUCUAGUAGUUGGUGAAUCCUUUUGUGUUUUGUAGUUCAUAAGUUUAUGAUCUAAAAGUUGUAAUUGUUACAAGCGUUAUUCUUGCUUCUUUGAAAGUAAAUUUUGUUGGAAAAUUUGCUAUCUCAAAUGUUGUAGAUGUUGUUCAUAUGAGCAUGAAUAUUGGAGCUAAAAUUUGGUGCCAUGCUUUUGGGAAAAUUCGGCCAAAAUCAAAGGGUAUUUUUUGGGUUCUUGUUUGACUUGUUAAAAGUGUUUUAAUGUGUUCUUUGGAACCCCUAAGUACCCUAGUUUGGUUAGAUGUUAUUUCCCUUAAGUAAGAAAGGUUUUAGAAUGUUUUUGGGUGGAAAAAGUUCAUGGAAAAAUUUGGGUUUUUCAUGAAUGUUCUUCAUUGUUCUUGAUGUUCUUUCCAAGAACAAAAAGGUUUGGUGUAUUGAUUCAAAGUUUUGAAUUAUUUCAUAAAGUAUAUGUGAUAUGUUUUUAAAUGAUUUAUCAUGUAUUUAAAGUAUUAGAUAUUUGUAUAAAUGAUGAUUGAAAUAAUUGUGAUUGAAUUAUUUCAAAAACUUAUCUUACAUACACUUGCAUGCUUUUGACAAAACUCACUAAUCAACACACACACCAACCUCAUCCUCUCCCUAAAACCGGCCACUCCCUCAAAGGGAGUACUUUUGGGGCUUUUAUGCAAUUACAUAAAGUUUUGAUACUUUUGUGUAUUUGCACUUUGGCCCAAAAGUUUACGUUUUUACGUUUAGGUCCAAAAACGCUAAAGGACAAAUUGUUUUGAUCCUUUAAUGAUGUUUUUGCAUUAUUAAAAGUUUGGGUUCUAGUUGUAUUUACAUGAAGUUGUGACUUUUGUGUAUUAUACAAAGUGACCCCAAAAGUUUUUGUUAUUGCAAUAUGGCCCAAAAGUUGAGGUUAAUUGCAUGAUGGCCCAAAUAGGAUGAGAACAAAAUUGUUUUGUCUCUUUAAAUGAGAAUUGGAUUUUCAUUUUGUUUAGCUCCAUUUAAAUCAAUCUUAUGGAUACAAAAACCAAAUGAAAAUGUUGCAUUCAGUUAAUUAAUUAAAGGGUGAUUAUGAACCUAAGCCUAAUAUAAUUGAGCUAUGUGAAAGGCGUUUCAAAUUUGUUUGAACCAUGGGAAUGUGUAGAUUAGAUUUUGGUUGUAAUUUGAUUUGAUCAAAUGUUGUAAAAGGGCUUAAGCUCUUCUUUACUUUAAAGUAAUUUGUUAUAUGCAAAUGUUGUAAUGAGCAUAAGCUCACCUUUACUUUGAAGUACUUCUUUCUUGCUUUAUACGAUAUGCAUGAAAAUGAAGUAGUUGGGUCCAACGCCCCUAAGACAACACGCCUUAAUGUGAUUAAACGCGUAACUAAAAUCAAUCACCAUUCCUAGACCGAGAUUCAACACAAGGCUCGUGUUGAAUCUAAACAAAGGUUCAUAAUCAUCCUUAAGGCCCUAAGGCAACUAUAUAGUCCAUCAAAUGAAUGCAAAGUUUAUGUUAGUAGUAUCAUAUACUCUUGCUUUAAAAAUCCGUUUUAAAAGCAUAGUGGGAGUAUUAUGUACAACUAAAACAAUCAUGGACCAAUAGUUGUAAUAGGACCAAAAUUGUUUUAAUAGAGAUUAAAAUGUAUGUUUAUAUGUGAUGAGACCUAAAACCCUCAACCAAACCAUUAUUAAGUUGAUAAGCGAGAGAUGUUUUAGAACAUCUCUUCGUGGCCUUCCACCGUGGUGGGAUCCAAUCGUUUAUGACUUGUACACCGGCUUCACCCUAUCAUGGGGGAGUACAAAGUGCAUGCUUAUACUCAGGAGGAAUCCAUAUACAUAUGAUGAGUGAGUGUAGGCAACGAGGAUAGCUAUACAUCGUAUCAUCGUGAGGCUAUUCUUGAACCCCUUCACACACUAAGCAUGGUGGGAAGAACUUAACUAAGUGAAAUGGAGCCAACAUCAUAUCAUUGUGAGGUGACAUUCUCUAGAGGCCAAAUAAGAUGGGUACUUGCAUUAGUUGCAAAUGAGUAAGCGUACUCUCUCAUUAUUAUUAAGUUGCUAGCCAUACAUCGUAUCAUUCGUGAGGUGGGCUUGGUAAUAGUGAGCCUCCCAUAACCUACUAAGAGUUUCAUCCAAAACUCUCGAAUUCCAAUGAGGGAUAUGGAAUUUGCCAAAAAUAGUGGGUGAUGCUAUUUGAUUUAAAGACCCGAAAUCAAAUGGCUUAAAAUCAAUCAAUUUAUAUUCGUUAUGUAUUUUGUUUACCAAUAUAUUUGCAAACGCUAUCCAACACUUGACAAAAAAACCGAACGUUUAGUUUCCGGACUUGGUACUACAAAACCAUAGAUUGUCUUAAUGGCUUGUAAAUGUACCUAAGUAGUCUCAUCCUCACAAUCUUCCUAUUGAUAAUGUAUCAUUAGAAGAAUAUGUUAGAAAAGGUCUAUCAUAAAGAGGACAACACUUUUAAUGUCAUAAUUCUUCAAUUACAAUUUGUUGUAUGAAGAAAUAAGAGUUGCUUUGAACAACUCCUUAGUCAAUGCAAACACUUAGUGCUUGUUUCUUUGUUACAUGAACAAGGAACUUGAGAAGAAAGCACAAAGGCAUGGACACUUUAUGUGCCAUGAUUCUUCACUUACAAAUUGUUGUAUGAAGAAAUGAGAGUUGCCUUGUAACAACUCUUGAAAGUUUGUAAUUAUGUUUAGAACAUAAUGGUUGGUUGACAAAAAUAGUCCAUCAACAUGGACUUAUGAUGAUUUUGAAUCAUUGAGUGUUGAAGUGAUAAACCACUUAACGAGACGGAAACUAGGCAAGGACUUCACCUUUGUGUCCCUAUCCUAAUGGUUCACUAAGUUUAUUGUAAACUAUGUAGUGAACAAUAAACCACAUGCUCUCCAAAAUUGUUUGAUGUGUAUAACACAAUUGAAAUAAGUUUCAAGAGAGAUAGUGGGAGUUUAGGGACCAUGACUAAUUGUAGUCAAAGGUGAAAGUCAAAUGAAGAAGAUAAAUAACUCCAAGGGAACAAACUUUCUUUAUGAAAGGAUGGACAUUGGAAGGGGUAUUUGCAAGAAAUGUCUUGCAAGUGUCAAGAACACACCUUUCGAAGGUGUUGUAAAUUGUUCUUGAAAAGUUCAAAACAGUUGGUUCUUCUACUUGAAUGCUUGAUUCCGUAUUAGUAACUAUGUUUUACAAUCGUUGUAAAAGUGUGACUAAUAAGAAGUAGAAGAUAUAUGAGAGAAGAGAAAGGUGCUUCACAUUCGGAAACGUGAAUCAAAAUGUAGAUCUCUGCGAAAGCAGAUAGUACUUACUUCCUCAUAUGAACUACCAAAGAAAUUGGAAAAACAAAGAUUGUCUUUACAUUCCAAUUUUAAGGAACUAAAAUUCCGUCACUAUAGUGAAAUGGAUAAAUGUUUUGUUUGACAAAACAUUGUUCUUUAUUAAUCAAUGAUUGGAUUAUGGUAAUCUAAUUGAUUGUCUCUAUAGUAGAGAUGAUAUGGUAGUGUUAACUGUUUAGAAUAUAAUGAUGCUUAAAACCCAAAAGGUUGCAAGGUAGUGACUAAUCCCAACUAAAGUUGUGAUACCUCUAAAACAUAAAUUACGAGUUGGUCAUAGAUGGAUGCUUUGGAUCGUUAGAUCCGGAUCCAAUACCUUCUUGUUAAAAUUGUAUAGAGGCGAAAUGUUCGAAUCUUUAUUCUUUUGGAAAGAAGAAAAGAAUCACAAAGUUGUUGAGGUUAAUUCACUUAGAUGUUAGUGGCACUUGUCACAACAUAAUACUACUCAUGUUGAAUGACAUUCACCGAAGAUCACUCUCGGUUGGACUAUAGUUUAUUUUGAAUAAACACAAGUCCGAAUACUUUGCAAAAUGGUUUCAAAGAAUUCAAGAAAUGUAAGUUGAUGAGUAAGACGUCUAAAGUAUUUACCUCCUUAGAUUUGAUCCAAGGAAAGGUAACACUUUAGAUAAGUUUCCUUGAAAGAUAUCAAGGAAAGAAGCAUCAUAAGAUAAUAAUUUUCUCCAUUAGGAGAAGAACGAACUUGAAUAAGAUUUAGUUCGUUAGGAUGUUAUCUAUUACCCAUAUAUAGGAUAUAUACUUCUAAAAACAAUAUGAUUGUCAAUUAGAAGAUCUUCCAAAAUUUUCAUGACUCCAUAAGAUGUAGUUGGAAAAGAAAGACAAAUCUUAAGCAUGUUAAGAUUUGGGGUUGUGUGCUAAUAAAGCAAUAUUUGUUUGAUAACAAUCUUGUGGGAUAUCCUUAAAAUUAACUUUUGGAUAUCGCUUCUAUAAACCAACUAACAAAUGUUGUUUUGUUGGGUAGUUCAUUGUAAUCCUACAAUGUGAUUUGCCUAAAAGCAAAUGAACGAGAGAUAGAACUCAAAGAAUGGGUUCUUUGAGAGACAAGAAAGUAAUCAACAAAUAUAACAACCUAGUUCCUAUACCACAAAGCUCCAAGGUAGUCGAGAAGGAUUUAUAAACCGUCUCAGUUGAAUGGUUUUGAACUUUAUGACUAUGUCAUAGAGUUGCACCUCUUAAUUCGAAAGAAAUAAGAAUGAAAAUCCUUAUGACUACAUUGAGUGUAUAUACGAUAUAUACUCAAGGAAAUGGUAAAGUACCAUUUGACCCGAAAUAAUGAAACCUUCAAAAGCUAAUUGGUAGCUUAAGGUGACUACAAUCAAAGAGAAUGGUUGACUUUGAAAGAAACCAUUUUUGACGUAGUCUUAGUUUCAAUUAAUUCGAAGAUUGCUAGCUACAACUAAAUGGUGAUUCAAUGUUUGGACAUAAUAUGGGUUUCCGAAACCAUUAUUAAGAUAGUCUUGAUAAUAUAUGUCUAAAACUAUAAAUCACAAGACAUGUAAGUUGUAGAGAUCCAUCCAUCAUGGAAUCUUAGCAAGCUAGUGGGAGCUAUAAGCAUCUUAUGAGAAAAAGGAUCAAAUCGUUUGAUUUCUCAUAAAGAUGUAAAUGAAUCUUUUGUUUACUAGGUUUACAAAAGAUUAGUGGGAGUUAAUCAUGUUCCUAAAAAUUUAAAUAUAUAUGAUAUAUUAAUUUUGGAAAUGAAAAGAAUACUUCUUCGUUAAAGUUAUGACUUUAAACAUUAUAUGAAGAUAGAAUGUAUAUGGGAGAUAUAGUCUAUAUACAUGGGAUGGAAAUCUAUAAUGAUAUAUUUCAUGAUAUAAUUGGAUUAUAUCAAUCCCUAAUAAUAGACAAUGGAUGCUAGGAAGUUUCUCAUAUGAUGAUAAACUUCAAUAGAAGGACGAUUCUAGUGAGACUAGCAAGUUGCCCUUCUCAAAGGGAACGUACCCUUUGACUCCCAAAGAAAUAAUGCGUAAAUAGAAUCCUUUAUGCAUACGCAGAAAGGUGAUUUAUGUAUUUCAUAUUGUAUGAAAAACAUUGAUAUGAGUUGUACCUAGAACGGUACAAGACGAUAUCAGUGCAAGCCCAGGAUCAGAACCAUGGCAACUGUCAAGUGAGUCCUUAAGUAUUUGAGAAAUACUAAAGGAUAAAUUCCUCAAAGAAUGAGGAAGAAUUAGAGUAACGUAAGGGAAGCGUAAAUGUAUUAGAUUAUGAAUCUAAUCCAUCAUUGGAUGUUUCUUCAUUAUGAAUGAAGAGAUAAACGAAUAUCUCUUUAUUAUGACUAAAGAGAUAUUUGGAUGGAAACAUUAAAGUAAUGACUUUAGUGUGUUCCAUUAUGAAUGCAAGAUAUAUUGCCAUAUAGAAGUUUACAACAAUGUUGUUUGGAUGGGAAAGUUCAUUUAUGAACUCUCUAUUCGGUUCCAACCAGAAAGUGUUUGACACUAAUGGGGCGAUAGCUCAAGCCUGGGAAUCAAGGUCUCAUCAAGAUCCGAACACAAAUGAGAGACUGAACCACAUGAUUGAGAAUCAUGUAUAAUGGUGACGUCGUUAUUCUCAAGGUUGCUUCUGUGGAUAACACAUAUAGAUAUCCACUGUCUAGGCCUACUAUUCAGCCAUUUAUGAAAUGACUACAGAAGAGAUAUCAUCAUUGAUGAUCAAGCUGAUUGGCUCUAGUGCAAGUGGGAGAUUGUUGGAAAUGUACCCUAAAGCCAAUCAUGUGAUGAUACUUUACGGACAUUUCACAUGUUAAACUAAUCUAGUUUAACAUAUAAAGGGCAUAGAUUAUUGUUUGAGCCGUCUCAUAUAAAUGUUAUAUGCUUAAACGAUAAAGUCCAAGGAAUUUGUGAUUGAGAGAAUGUAAUCUAAUGAAGUUAGAUUCUUGAGACCAUUCUUUCGUAGACACAUCCUAAACGUUCCUGAUCAUAGGAUUGCCAAUUGGGCAUUGACAGUCCGUCAAGAUCGGUACGUACUAUGUCUUCUCUCAGGGAGAGUGAUUAGUCUCGAAUCAUUGGUGUGUGUGACAUCAAGACAAGUACGGUAGGUGCUCAAUAGAGAAUGAGUUCACUGAACGCGAUCAACGAAGAGUUCUCAUAUUCCAUGUCACAUAAGAACUCAUGGUUGGGAUAAUGCAAAGUAGUCCUUUGACCUGAGGCAUCAUAGUUGUCUUGUGGUUAAGACCUUGAUCUUUGAUUAUGUCAAAGUCAUCCCACCAGGAGGGUGUCCACGGCAUCGUUGGGGUCAAGCCGCUUAGCUAUGGAGACAAGUGAAUGCGCAACAAGGGAUCUCUAACCUUCAAACCGUUUGAGGGAGAAUACUCUCUGAUAUGAUUUGAAUCUUUGGCCAAAGUAUGAAUGAGAUUAGGGAAUGCGUUCCGAAUCACAUUCAAGGUAAUCAUAUAAAGCACAAGACACACAUUGGAUAGUAGACAUGAGAAAAUAAACUAUCAAACCAAACAAUGUGGUCAAGAGUAUUAGAUUAGAGAAGGACCGUAUUGCAUUUGUAAUCUCGAACUGAAUAGGUUCUCUCUAACCUCUUCUGAUUAGCUUGGGUAACCAUGAUAUGCUGCUAGGUGUCACUCAUGGUUUGUGGAAGCCCUAAACGUGUAUAAUCACUAAAGGGAGAAUUGAAAAUGUUUCAAUUCACAAUCGAUGUAAAAUGGUUUUAAUCGCCCACUACCUCGCUAAAAGGAACCUAAUGGAUCGCACACCGUGAAAGGUGGAGAUUGGAGAUUAAAUGGAAAUGAGUAAGAAUGAUUAAAUGGUUUAAUCAUUGAUUUAUGGCAAGGAUUAAUUAAUAUGUUAAUUAAUCAAACGAAUAAGUUCGUUAAAGACUUCGGGAUAGUUUUGGACCUUAAGGCCCAAUGGGCUUCGAACGUCAAGCCCAUUAACUUAAGUUGUAUGACAAUUUAAUGAAUGAAGAUUCAUUAAAGCCCAAAAGCCCAAAUCUCAUAAGGUGGCCGGCCAUAUUAGAUGAAUUAGGGUUGUUUGGUUAUUUAGGUCACUUAAAGAAGUGACUAUAUAAAUGACUUUAUAACUAAAUAUUCAUUAAGUGAAUUAAGUGAAAAAUGGGUUUAUUUUGGGGGAAAUGGGUGAGAAUUGUCUCUCCAUUUUCUCUCUAAAGAGGCCAACACCUUGGAGGGUACAUCUAGCAAUCCUACUACUCCAAGGUCACUCAUUUCUUCUGCAAUCGAACCUUGGUGUCGAGAAUUAGAGGUUCUCAAUUUUGGGAACUUGGAGAACCUAUUCUUCCAUCCAAAUCCAUGGAUCUAAGAAGCAAGGAAUGAAGGCCCUUAUCUCUUUGGGUGAUUAGCUUUUGCUUAUGCAAAGAGGAAUCUACAAAGGUAUUAAUUUCAACUCACUUUGUUUUUGAGUUGAUUAUUGGUUCACCAAUCUACUAGGCUUUGAAUUUCAUGGGUAAAUGUUUUGUUUUUGAGUGCAUGUAAGCAUGAUUCUGCCUUUAAUUGUUAAUUGCAUGCUAUAUGAUGUUGCUCAAAUGAACAUGUUUUACAAAAUAAAUCCUUCAGUGCCUAUGCCCAAGCCUUGGGAGUGUUGGAGCGUUUCUAGGUGUUUUCUAUCUUUGUUUUUAAUGUCUAAAUU
rnacentral:lncRNA from 1 species